CACAUGCAAGUCGAGGGGCAGCACGGGAGUAGCAAUACAACUGGUGGCGACCGGCGCACGGGUGAGUAACGCGUAUGCAACCUACCUAUCAGAGGGGAAUAACCCGGCGAAAGUCGGACUAAUACCGCAUAAAACAGGGGCACCGCAUGGUGAUAUUUGUUAAAGAAAUUCGCUGAUAGAUGGGCAUGCGUUCCAUUAGGUAGUUGGUGAGGUAACGGCUCACCAAGCCGACGAUGGAUAGGGGAACUGAGAGGUUGGUCCCCCACACUGGUACUGAGACACGGACCAGACUCCUACGGGAGGCAGCAGUGAGGAAUAUUGGUCAAUGGGCGAGAGCCUGAACCAGCCAAGUCGCGUGAAGGAAGAAGGAUCUAUGGUUCGUAAACUUCUUUUGCAGGGGAAUAAAGUGCGGGACGUGUCCUGUUUUGUAUGUACCCUGAGAAUAAGGAUCGGCUAACUCCGUGCCAGCCGCAGC
rnacentral:rRNA from 1 species